CAUUCUUUUCCUCAGAGGAUACUCUUGGACAUAAGUAUGCUACCAUAUUUACUUCCAUUUAUUCACUAUUUUUCACUAUCGUUGUUCUAGAUGUUUCUUGAGCAGCUUCAAUCCCCCAAGAAUCUGAAGUCCAAGAGAGGUUGCCUGGGGACUAUCUCAUCUAGAGUUCAAGUCACUGCAGAGUUCCAGAGACUUAGAUGGGGAAAAUCAUGAAUAAGACAUAAGUACAGUCAGUUGCACUCAGGCUGAAAAGGUGUCGUGAGGAGCUACAUGCAGCCUGCAAAUUGUCCACAACAAAGUGUAUCAAGCACAGUAAUUGUGUUUAUGCAUUGUCAUGAUGAAAUAAACCUCAUGAUGGCUUAGCCAGAAGUGGCAAACCUGUCAGUCCUCAACUGACAACUAGAAUUGGGACCAGAAUUUCCAUCGCUAAGGGAAUGAGGCCGUAAUGUGUGAUGUCACGAGACGGCAGUCCCAGGAUUGACACUGAAGUAAAGAUUUGGGGGAGGGAUGGGGUCUGCCGGCUAAGACUGCUGAAGGCCCCAGGUUUCUCCUUCGGCCCCAGCCUUGCUGCUGCUGCCAUGGAUUACCAUUGUGCCAGACAACCAAAAGGGGGGGCAGAUAGGUGGGUGACGGGAGUUAAACCACCCCUGUGUUAAUUCAUGAGGGGAUUCUCUUAAGCACCUGAAUGUUGAUCACAUGAAAGAGGAGCACUACAAUGGCUGGAACUGGGGACCAACUGUAAUAUUUUUCAGCACCAUGCAUCUUUGAACUAGUCCCUAACAAAGGGUCAUAAGUUGAAGACUACCUGUAUGGAUUUUGCUGUGAUUUUUUAACCUGUAUGUUGUGAAUAAGAGCCAUUAAUAAACUACCCAAGUUCAACAUAUCUGAUUUUUUAAUCUACUUAUCUACCUACCUACCUACCUACCUAUUUAUCUAUCUAUCUAUUUAUCUAUCUAUCUCCUUCUCUCACGUGCAUUUUUAAGAUCUGUCUAUCUGUCCCAUAGAGGGACUCUCGGCAGUGUACAAGUGAGAAAUAUUAAGACAUAAAAAGAGUAUGCAAAAUGUACAAGACAGGGACGGGUUAAAAAAAUAUUGAAAGUUAAUUAAAAGGCAGGGCAGGGCUUCAGGGCCCUAGCCAGCCCCAUAGCUGUGUGCUCUUCUGGGAGCCUCCCGAAGGCCAGGAGAGUGGGAGCCUGUCCCACCUGUGUGGCACAGAGUCGGCAGCACGCUUCCCUUGCCUCACUGAGUGGGAUGGGCUGAUGUAAUGGGAUGGACACAGUUCCGUAAGAAACCUA